CACUCCGGUGGCCUAGUGGUAAGAGCGUCCGCUUUAGAUGCGGGAGGUCGUGCGGUUCAAACCCAGGCCGAGUCA